rnacentral:rRNA from 1 species
GAUGAACGCUGGCGGCGUGCCUAAUACAUGCAAGUCGAGCGAACGGACGAUAAUCUUGCUUUUCUGAUGUUAGCGGCGGACGGGUGAGUAACACGUGGAUAACCUACCUAUAAGACUGGGAUAACUUCGGGAAACCGGAGCUAAUACCUGAUAAUAUUUUGAACCGCAUGGUUCAAUAGUGAAAGACGAUCUUGCUGUCACUGAUAGAUGGAUCCGCGCUGCAUUAGCUAGUUGGUAAGGUAACGGCUCACCAAGGCAACGAUGCAUAGCCGACGUGAGAGGGGGAGCGGAAACACCAGAACUGAACCAAGGUCCAGACUCCUACGGGAGGCAGCAGUAGGGAGUGUUCCGCAAUGGGAGAAAGCCUGACGGAGAAACGCCGAGUGGGUGAUGAAGGUCUUCGGAUCGUAAAACUCUGUUAUUAGGGAAGAACAUAUGUGUAAGUAACUGUGCACACCUUGACGGUACCUAAUCAGAAAGCCACGGCUAACUCCGUG